GAACGUACGCUGGCGGCACGCCUAACACAUGUCAAGUCGAACGAAGUAGCAAUACUUAGUGGCAGACGGGUGAGUAACAUGUAGGUAUCUGCCCUUUGGCCUGGAAUAACACGAGGAAACUUGUGCUAAUACCGGAUAAGUCUUUACGGAGAAAGCUUUAUGCACCAUUGGAUGAGCCUGCACUUGAUUAGUUUGUUGGUGGGGUAAUGGCCUACCAAGACUGUGAUCAAUAGCUGAUUUGAGAGGAUGAUCAGCCACAUUGGGACUGAGACACGGCCCAAACUCCUACGGGAGGCAGCAGUGGGGAAUCUUGCACAAUGGAGGAAACUCUGAUGCAGCGAUGCCGCGUGAGUGAAGAAGGCCUUUGGGUUGUAAAGCUCUUUCGUCGGGGAAGAAAAUGACUGUACCCGAAUAAGAAGGUCCGGCUAACUUCGUGCCAGCAGCCGCGGUAAUACGAAGGGACCUAGCGUAGUUCGGAAUUACUGGGCUUAAAGAGUUCGUAGGUGGUUGAAAAAGUUAGUGGUGAAAUCCCAGAGCUUAACUCUGGAACUGCCAUUAAAACUUUUCAGCUAGAGUAUGAUAGAGGAAAGCAGAAUUUCUAGUGUAGAGGUGAAAUUCGUAGAUAUUAGAAAGAAUACCAAUUGCGAAGGCAGCUUUCUGGAUCAUUACUGACACUGAGGAACGAAAGCAUGGGUAGCGAAGAGGAUUAGAUACCCUCGUAGUCCAUGCCGUAAACGAUGUGUGUUAGACGUUGGAAAUUUAUUUUCAGUGUCGCAGGGAAACCGAUAAACACACCGCCUGGGGAGUACGACCGCAAGGUUAAAACUCAAAUGAAUUGACGGGGACCCGCACAAGUAGUGGAGCAUGUGGUUUAAUUCGAAGAUACGCGCAGAACCUUACCAACACUUGACAUGUUCGUCGCGACUCUAAGAGAUUAGAGUUUUCGGUUCGGCCGGACGAAACACAGGUGCUGCAUGGCUGUCGUCAGCUCGUGUCGUGAGAUGUUGGGUUAAGUCCCGCAACGAGCGCAACCCUCACUUUUAGUUGCCAUCAUUAAGUUGGGCACUCUGAAAGAACUGCCAGUGAUAAGCUGGAGGAAGGUGGGGAUGACGUCAAGUCCUCAUGGCCCUUACGUGUUGGGCUACACACGUGCUACAAUGGUAUCUACAACAGGAAGCAAAACUGCGAAGUUAAGCAAAUCCCUAAAAGAUACCUCAGUUCGGAUUGCACUCUGCAACUCGAGUGCAUGAAGCUGGAAUUACUAGUAAUCGUGGAUCAGCGUGCCACGGUGAAUGCGUUCCCGGGUCUUGUACACACCGC
rnacentral:rRNA from 1 species